UAAACGGUUUUAUUUAGCUCACCCCGUUUGUUUUAUUCUUUCUUGGGUCAAAUUUAGUAAUUCAAAUUUCACCCUCUUCCUGUCAACCGAUUAAUCUGAAAUUUUGUGUACACUUUGGAUUUUGGUGACAAUACAAUUAUGUUUAUUCAUUAUCAUUAUAAAUUCAAGAUGGCCGCCGCUACAAAAUGGCGGAUAAUUUAGGUUUUAUUAAUCCCAUCAAUAUGGGUAUCAAAUGAAAGGGCUCAACAAGCAGAAUACAAUAUACUAUAAAAAAAUUAAAUCUAAGAUGGCGGCCGCUACAAAAUG